ensembl:misc_RNA 7SK 7SK RNA
GGUGGAUUCUUUACCAUUUGAGCCACCAGGGAAGCCCACCAUCCCUGAUAGAGGAGGACUGGUCUUCCGUCAAGGUUAUAGGAGUAGCUGUGCUCCCCUGCUAGAACUUCCAAACAAGCUCUCAAGGUGUCCUUAUAAGAAGAGGAAAUUAGGAUUCAAACAUACAGAGGGAAGACCAUGU